CAAGACCGUGCUAAGGUUAUGAUAUUUCUCCAUCAUCAUCUUGACGAGGGCUUAAAAAUGAAAUAUCUCACCAUUAAAAGUUUUCUUAUAUUAUGGAAUAACCUAAAAGAGAGAAAUAACCACCUGAAGAUGAUUGUCCUUUCAUAGACACAUUAUGAAUGAACCUAUUUGAGAUUAUAAAAUUUUAAAAAUAUAACUCCCUAUAAUUCUACCAUGUUUAGAAUUAAAUCACAGUUAAAUUUAUGCGGAGAAAACAUCACUGAUCAUGACAUGCUAGAGAAAACAUUCUCUAUCUUUCCUACUUCAAGUAUGCUCCUGCAGCAGCAAUAUCAAGAAAUGAAAUUCAAAAAGAAUUCUAAACUGAUUUCACAUUUUCUUGUUGUUGAACAACACAAUGAUCUUUUGAUGAAUAAUCAUAAAAGGUGACCUACUGAUAGUGCUCCAUUUUCUGAAGUAGCUACUGCAAAUUUUCACCAAAUUAGACGUGAAAGAAGUCCUGGCUACAGUCGUGGUUGUGGUUGUGGCCGUGGUCAAGGAACAAAUUUUAAUCAGGGUGAUCGUCUUGUACUAAAUAAUGACCCUCAGCACCAGCAAUGUAAAAAUAAGGGGGAAAAUACUGCAACAGUGCAAAGGAAAAAUUCAAAAAAUAAAUGCUAUCGAUAUGGAGGAAAGGGGCACUGAUCAGUGAUUACGUACCUGCCAUAUGCCAAAACAUCUAGCCAAUCUCUAUCAGGCAUCCCCAAGAAAAUGGAUAACAAUGUAAAAUCAAACUUUAUCUCCGAAGAUAAUAUUGAGCCUAUGGAUUUAGAUGCUCCAAAUUUCUUUGCAAUCUAUGAAGGAAAUGUUAGUCAUCUUGUUGGUGAUGAAUCUGCAAUAGUCUGAGUAUUUUACUUUUCUGUUGGUUGUACUAGUUUAUAUUUUUUUUAGUAGUGUUUCACUACUCUUGUAAAUAAAUAAAAUUUGUAUAAUAUGUUGUGAGUUGAUAAUACUAUAAUAUUUAUUUUGUUUAUAUUUUCAUCUUGAAGAAUAUAUGGAUACUCCUCAAAUUUUAUUUGGAUCAAUAAUCGACGCAUCUUCAAGAUGGUCUCAUGUAUCAUCUCGCAAUCUAGCGUUAGCGAAAUUACAGAUAAAAAUAAUACGAUUAAGGACACAAUUUUCAGAUUAUCCCAUUAAAGCUAUUUGCCUCGAUAAGGUUAGAGAAUUUAUAUCCCAAGCUUUUUUGAUGGUAGAUGUCCUGCCAUGUGUCUCACUUCCAGAUAGGCUCAAAGCCAAAUCAGCCUCCACCCUUUGAAAUGGAUUUGUUCUCGUAAUGUUUUCAUUUUGAGCUAUAAAUAGCCAUGUUCAUGUGAAUAUAAAUAGCCUCUCCAUCAUUUUUCUCCAUUAUUGCUUUGCACCUUUUUACUCUGUGUUACUUUCUUAGGUGAUUUUAUAACAAAUCUAACAUUUUAAACUCCACGCUCAACAAAAGGGGAGUAAAAAGUACCAAAGCUUCCACUUAAAAAAUAGUAAAUUUUGAUCAACGUAGAGAGCGAGUACUUUUGAUGACCGGAGAAAGGUAAACAUUCGUUAGGCAACACUUUCAAGUGCGCACAAGAUAAGCUUCCACUUAAAAAAUAGUAAAUUUUGAUCAACGUAGAGAGCGAGUACUUUUGAUGACCGGAGAAAGGUAAACAUUCGUUAGGCAACACUUUCAAGUGCGCACAAGAUAAACCCUGUUUCAAUGUAAUAGCCAACAAACCAUACAAGAGAGGCAAGCCAUGAGUCCUGUGCGACGAGCAUAACAGAAAAAGCAAGCAGGGGGUUUCGAACUUGAGACCCCCUAUUUAUUUGGGGCUAACCAACUCGGACACUUCUCCGGAUAUAUCACCUAAUGUGACAAUGACAGUAAACAUGCUGCUUCAUAAUCAAAUCAUUUUGGAUCUAACUACAAGAAUGAAGAACCUUUUUUCAGUCGGGG